GACGAACGCUGGCGGCGUGCUUAACACAUGCAAGUCGAACGCUGAAGCUCAGCUUUUGUUGGGUGGAUGAGUGGCGAACGGGUGAGUAACACGUGAGUAACCUGCCCCCUUCUUUGGGAUAACGCCCGGAAACGGGUGCUAAUACUGGAUAUUCACUGGUCUUCGCAUGGGGGUUGGUGGAAAGGGUUUUUCUGGUGGGGGAUGGGCUCGCGGCCUAUCAGCUUGUUGGUGGGGUGAUGGCCUACCAAGGCUUUGACGGGUAGCCGGCCUGAGAGGGUGACCGGUCACAUUGGGACUGAGAUACGGCCCAGACUGCUACGGGAGGCAGCAGUGGGGAAUAUUGCGCGAUGGGCGCAAGCCUGAUGCAGCGACGCCGCGUGAGGGAUGGAGGCCUUCGGGUUGUGAACCUCUUUCGCUCAUGGUCAAGCCGCAACAAUGGUUGUGGUGAGGGUAGUGGGUAAAGAAGCGCCGGCUAACUACGUG
rnacentral:rRNA from 1 species